ACAAGCUUUCGGGAGAACCUCCCUUUCUCAAGUCUGAGGAAAUGCUUCAGAUUUGAGAAAGGGAGGUUCUCUCGAAAGCUUG